rnacentral:snRNA from 1 species
GUGCAUAUCUCGGUGUAGUAUAUU